rnacentral:rRNA from 1 species
GGGAUAACGCAGCGAAAGUUGUGCUAAUACCGCAUACGCCCUGAGGGGGAAAGUGGGGGACCGCAAGGCCUCACGUUAUUCGAGCGGCCGACGUCUGAUUAGCUAGUUGGUGGGGUAAAGGCCUACCAAGGCGACGAUCAGUAGCGGGUCUGAGAGGAUGAUCCGCCACACUGGGACUGAGACACGGCCCAGACUCCUACGGGAGGCAGCAGUGGGGAAUUUUGGACAAUGGGGGCAACCCUGAUCCAGCCAUUCCGCGUGAGUGAAGAAGGCCUUCGGGUUGUAAAGCUCUUUCAGCAGGAACGAAACGGUACGCUCUAACAUAGUGUGCUAAUGACGGUACCUGCAGAAGAAGCACCGGCUAACUACGUGCCAGCAGCCGCGGUAAUACGUAGGGUGCGAGCGUUAAUCGGAAUUACUGGGCGUAAAGCGUGCGCAGGCGGAUUGUUAAGCAAGAUGUGAAAUCCCCGGGCUUAACCUGGGAAUGGCAUUUUGAACUGGCAGUCUAGAGUGUGUCAGAGGGGGGUGGAAUUCCACGUGUAGCAGUGAAAUGCGUAGAGAUGUGGAGGAACACCAAUGGCGAAGGCAGCCCCCUGGGAUAACACUGACGCUCAUGUACGAAAGCGUGGGUAGCAAACAGGAUUAGAUACCCUGGUAGUCCACGCCGUAAACGAUGUCGGCUAGCCGUUGGGCUCAUUUAAGCCCUUAGUAACGAAGCUAACGCGUGAAGUUGACCGCCUGGGGAGUACGGUCGCAAGAUUAAAACUCAAAGGAAUUGACGGGGACCCGCACAAGCGGUGGAUGAUGUGGAUUAAUUCGAUGCAACGCGAAAAACCUUACCUACCCUUGACAUGUCCGGAAUCCUGAAGAGAUUUGGGAGUGCUCGAAAGAGAACCGGAACACAGGUGCUGCAUGGCUGUCGUCAGCUCGUGUCGUGAGAUGUUGGGUUAAGUCCCGCAACGAGCGCAACCCUUAUCAUUAGUUGCUACGCAAGGGCACUCUAAUGAGACUGCCGGUGACAAACCGGAGGAAGGUGGGGAUGACGUCAAGUCCUCAUGGCCCUUAUGGGUAGGGCUUCACACGUCAUACAAUGGUCGGUACAGAGGGUUGCCAAGCCGCGAGGUGGAGCCAAUCCCAGAAAGCCGAUCGUAGUCCGGAUUGUUCUCUGCAACUCGAGAGCAUGAAGUCGGAAUCGCUAGUAAUCGCGGAUCAGCAUGUCGCGGUGAAUACGUUCCCGGGUCUUGUACACACCGCCCGUCACACCAUGGGAGUGGAAUCUGGCAGAAGUAGGUAGCCUAACCGCAAGGAGGGCGCUUACCACGCUGGGUUUCAUGACUGGGGUGAAGUCGUAACAAGGUA